rnacentral:lncRNA from 10 species
CCUAACAUUAGCUAUGAAAUAAGUACGCCCCAGGCUCCUCUGGCUGUGGUAGAUAUCCUUCUGUGCUGUGGCCUGGGAUUCUGGGACUGCAUACAGAGUGAAAGAAAGAGCAGAAGCCCACAGUAGAAUACAGACAAGCAGUCCCACUGAAGAUCACAUAACACUUGCAUGGCAGAAAGAAGAGAGAAUUUCCAGCCAGCAGUUGUAAAAGUGGGAGGAAAUAAGGAACAACUACAGUGUAUCUAGCUGGUAAAUGAAUACAAGAAUUAUGGGGACCAAAAAUUAAUUCCAUUCACACCUGCCUGUCUCAUCAAAAGGAAGUGAAUUGCAGAGUAACUCAAAGGAGGGGCUCCUGCCUCAGAAAGCAUUAAAAUGACUCCAAAGACCUACACAGAGGCUCUGUGAAAGGUGUUGCUGAAGGCUGGUUUGGAGUAAACUCUAUCACUAGCCCAUGAGCCUGAGCUUCAAGUGCCUCUCAGAGAGACACUAUGAUUUGGACAACUGUGGAUACUUCUGGUGGCUGGGGAUUAGAAGAAACACAUUUGUUGGGGACACUUGGAGUCCACUGAGGACUGGGGCAAGAAGGGUGGCAAUGUAGCCAGAAGGAGAAUCAGGGGCUGGGACAGACAGGAGGCCAGAAAGGGAUCUGGACGGAGUAGAGAAGCAG